rnacentral:misc_RNA from 1 species
UGUGUUACCUUGUGCCCCAUCAACACACUGUUCCGCGCUUGUUGGGUUUGGAGAAAAAAGUCUUGUUAAUUUGCAUGCCUCAUGUCUUGGUAGCAGUAUCAGAUUCCUUCAACCGUGGUCAAACCAACUGAAAGAUUACAGAACAGUGGGAAAACGAACUCACUAUAAGUCGAGACCUUUUUGUUCUACACUUGUCCUUUACAUGAGAAACAUAUAUAUUAUCUUAUCAUCGGCUGCUCUUACCACAGCAUGCUAUCUAGAGUUCCAAACAACAACUCCAAUAAAAAUUUCAAAUCCAAUAACAACAACCAGUGUAAUAAGAUAUCUCAGAACAUUUUCAAAUUUUGAUAUAGCUGCUUUGUAUUUUUUCCAAUAC